ACAACUCUUAGCAAUGGAUAUCUUGGUUCCCACAACGAUGAAGAACGCAGCGAAAUGCGAUACGUAAUGCGAAUUGCAGAAUUCAGUGAAUCAUCAAAUCUUUGAACGCAAGUUGCGCUUUCGAGAUAUCCUUGAAAGCAUGCCUCUUUGAGUAUCGGUU
rnacentral:rRNA from 1 species